rnacentral:rRNA from 1 species
UGGGGGAUAUUGCACAAUGGGCGAAAGCCUGAUGCAGCGACGCCGCGUGGGGGAUGAAGGCCUUCGGGUUGUAAACUUCUUUUGCUCUGAACAAGGCAUGCCUUUGGGGUGUGUUGAGUGUAGGGGUUGAUUAGCGCCGGCUAACUACGUGCCAGCAGCCGCGGUAAUACGUAGGGGGCGAGCGUUGUCCGGAAUUACUGGGCGUAAAGGGUUCGCAGGCGGCAUGGCAAGUCCGAUGUAAAAGGCGAAGGCUCAACCUUCGUAAGCAUCGGAAACUGGCAAGCUUGAGUGAAGGAGAGGCAAGUGGAAUUCCUAGUGUAGCGGUGGAAUGCGUAGAUAUUAGGAGGAAGACCGGUGGCGAAGGCGACUUGCUGGACUUAAACUGACGCUGAGGAACGAAAGCGUGGGUAGCAAACAGG